rnacentral:rRNA from 1 species
ACACUCCUGCGGGAGGCAGCAGUGGGGAAUAUUGCACAAUGGGCGCAAGCCUGAUGCAGCCAUGCCGCGUGUAUGAAGAAGGCCUUCGGGUUGUAAAGUACUUUCAGCGGGGAGGAAGGCGAUAAGGUUAAUAACCUUGUUGAUUGACGUUACCCGCAGAAGAAGCACCGGCUAACUCCGUGCCAGCAGCCGCGGUAAUACGGAGGGUGCAAGUGUUAAUCGGAAUUACUGGGCGUAAAGCGCACGCAGGCGGUCUGUCAAGUCGGAUGUGAAAUCCCCGGGCUCAACCUGGGAACUGCAUUCGAAACUGGCAGGCUAGAGUCUUGUAGAGGGGGGUAGAAUUCCAGGUGUAGCGGUGAAAUGCGUAGAGAUCUGGAGGAAUACCGGUGGCGAAGGCGGCCCCCUGGACAAAGACUGACGCUCAGGUGCGAAAGCGUGGGGAGCAAACAGGAUUAGAUACCCUUGUAGUCCCAUGA